CCUCGGGAGGCUGCAGUGGGGAAUUUUGCGCAAUGGGCGAAAGCCUGACGCAGCAACGCCGCGUGGGUGAUGAAGGUCUUCGGAUCGUAAAACCCUGUCGUUGGGGACGAAGGUGGGGGCGUUAAUAGCGUUUCUGCUUGACGGUACCCGGAGAGGAAGCCCCGGCUAACUCUGUGCCAGCAGCCGCGGUAAUACAGAGGGGGCAAGCGUUAUUCGAAAUUGUUGGGCGUAAAGGGCGUGAGGCAGAUGUGUAAUCCCCGAGCUCAACUUGGGAACUGCAUCUGAGACUGGAAGGCUAGAGUACUGGAGAGGGUGGUGGAAUUCCUCGUGUAGCGGUGAAAUGCGUAGAGAUGAGGAGGAACACCAGUGGCGAAGGCGGCCACCUGGACAGUAACUGACGCUGAGGCGCGAAAGUGUGGGUAGCAAACAGGAUUAGAUACCCCUGUAGUC
rnacentral:rRNA from 1 species